rnacentral:rRNA from 1 species
UACGUAGGGUGCGAGCGUUGUCCGGAUUUAUUGGGCGUAAAGAGCUCGUAGGCGGUUUGUCGCGUCGGCCGUGAAAUCUCCACGCUUAACGUGGAGCGUGCGGUCGAUACGGGCAGACUUGAGUUCGGUAGGGGAGACUGGAAUUCCUGGUGUAGCGGUGAAAUGCGCAGAUAUCAGGAGGAACACCGGUGGCGAAGGCGGUGGUCUGGGCCGGCACUGACGCUGAGGAGCGAAAGCGUGGGGAGCAAACAGG